rnacentral:lncRNA from 7 species
AGGAAACAGACAGAUCUUACCCACUGCCUUCAACUACCUAAUGAAGAAGUAAGAGAGACAGGCUAUUUUCAGGGAAGCACAGUAACAGGACAAGAAGCAACUAACAGCAAGUUCCAAAAACGUUAGUCCCUAUUAGAUGUCAGGAAACACUGAAACAGACAUCCAGAGAGACUUUGGAAUCUCCACCAUUGAACUUGGGUAUGUUCAAAACUCAACCAGACUAGGUCACAGAUAAACUGAGGAAAAGAUCAUGAAUAAAAGUUACAUAAACAAUCAAGAAGAGCAGAGUCUGUGACUGUUCAGAAGUUAACAUGCUCAAUAAGAAGUAUUUUGUAGGAGAGGUGUUUGUUAAAAAUUCAUUAAACUGCAUACAACUUGUUCCAGAACACAACUGGUAAAGGUCUCCUUAGCAAAUGACAGUACAGCACUCAAAUGUUCUGAAAAGUUAUUCAAGUCAUGCCACUGUAUGUGCCUGCUGUGCAAUGCUGCAUGUACCAUGAAUUCAUGUGCUUUUAUGGACUCUUUGUGAAGUGUGUACUGAAGAAUCUCUUCUUCCUCCCUGAGCUGUGAGCUGAAGAAAAUGGUCUGAAAUGGCUGAUGGAAGAUAGAUGUACUGAGAAACAAAAAAUUCCUUCAGAAUGCAAACUUGUAUGAAUUCUUGUUUUACACUUACCACACUCCUAUUCCAUUAUCCUCCUUCUGAUUACUCUCUUCUAUUUCCCGGUACAUUCCCCUCUUCCUCUCCCCUCCCCCCAAAAAACUGCUCAACUCCUAAAUAAAAAAUGACUUGAGCACUUAGAAUAUUUACAGAAAGACAUUCAAAACAAAACGACUUUUUUGAGCUUUAUCAAGCCUCUUCUUACAAUAGUAUCACAGUAAUCUAAAACAAUACUUCCAAUGCUUCUGCAGCAUUUAGCCAAACUCAAUCAUUACUUCUUCCCAUUUACUAAAGUAAGUGGAGGUAAUUUUAUUUUUAAAUGUGUGCAGCACUACGAUGCAGAUCUAGCCACUGAGUCACUGUUCCUUUCUAAAUGCAUCUGUGGUUUCCCUGGGCAAACAAAACGGUCACAUUUCCUCUGGACAGCACAAGAAGAAUCAAGAAUACCCCUCCAAAGUAGGCACAGUCUCUCACUUCGUACAACAUGAUCACUUGAUGCUUCAAUUUGCAAGCUAGAGCUCUAUCUGUGAUUCUUGUCC